CUAAAUUUGAGUUAUCAUCCUUUCUAUAGAGCAGAGGUUUGUGUGUUAUCUUAGCAAGCUGAGCUCGAUGAAAUAGCCUGGAGAGCUCUGUGGAUUCUGCGAGGGCUCCUACAUGGAGGUCAGGGGCGCAGAAGGCUCCGUAUUGCUGUUCCAUAUGCCUGUUUGCCCUUCCUAUUAGAAGGCUGGAAAUAUAAUUAGGAGACAAGCACCACAGAUGCUGCAGUUUACAAUAACCAGAAGAAACCACCGAAAUGGAUAGAGCCCGGGCGCCGGGAGACGCAAGAAAGGAAGAAGCCCUGUGCUCAGUUUCGACAGAUGCCUUAACCCCUGUCAUGGCAACUGCAAACAUCAUCGUGGUUAGUCCCCCUCCCCC
rnacentral:lncRNA from 1 species